GAUAGGGUAUUUUAAGAUAAAAUUUCUAUUUUACACGUAGAAGAUGGGUGUUUGCUCCGCUAUUA
rnacentral:tRNA from 1 species